UAAUAAGAGUUUUAAUGAGCUUACAUGUACUUUCCCAUUACAAAGGGAUUAGGUCACAUUACUGCGGUGGGCAAACUCUAUGUGUAUAUGAUCAUAAAUAAUGACUAGCCUGCUCACAUAAAACACCAGCAAUACGAAAUCUGUGGUAAAUUGUUUUGUGCCGGUAUCGAUUCUCGUAAUGAAAUAUAAUUGCUUAAUGCACUUUUUGCUCUGCUGGUACUUUUUACUUUAUGUUCGUAGAGGGAAAAAAUAUCUUGACCACCGCAUCGCUAUUUGUGCUAUUAGGGCUACAAAACGCGGACUGGGAUUUUAAAUAGCGCUUUAUAUUGCAACACAUUACAAUUUUAAGUUACAGGAAUAAAGUAAUUUCGCUCUAAAAAGGUUGAUUUCAUUUGCCUCUUUGUUGCUGUUGAUCUGUGAUGCCUUUGUUUGAAUGAUUUUGAAACCACUACUUUAAAACGCAGCCAGAGCAUUUGUAAACGACAUUAUUUGCAUUAGUUCAACAUUUUACAUAACCUCUUAAAGAAAAAAAACGUUAUUUUAAAAUUAAUUUUUAUUUCGCCUAAUCUGUAUGGAAAGUUGCACGUCCGGUCCUAACCGUGAAUAACAUUUUCUUUCAAGAAACGCUUAAGAAAACCCAAACAUCCAGUAAAUAAAUAAAUGCAAAUAUACCUUUUACAUAUGCAUCAAUAUUAAAAAUAAUACACUCGCAGGAACCAACAGCGUCGGUGCUAUAAGAAUGGCGCGGCGGACGUCUCAUUAUGCACAGCAGACUUGCAUCUUCAGUGCAUCUUCACUAUCCCGCUUUCUGAGGACGCGCAACACACAACCGGAGCUUCAAAAAACAAACAUACGGCUUUUUUAAAACGUCGAAAAAAUAAAUCUGGGGGGAAAAUUAGUCCGUCUGCUGGAAGAGAGACUAUGCAAGCAGGAUUUGCAUAUUUUGAUGCACUAAUUUUCCUUGAUGUAUUUAAAUAUGGCUGUUGCGCGUAGCAGAUAUGCUAGACUACGUCAUUGGACGUGACCUCGCUGUUAAACCCAAACGUGAGUCUGAGCGAGUCAGAAGGAUACGCCUGCAGUGAUAACUGAAUGUCGCUUCCGAGCUAGUCCGGCUUUUGAAAGAUAAUGCUGUGCUUCAGAGUAUCGGGAGAAAGUUUUGAAAUAAUUCCAGUUCAUGGUGUUGGCGACACUGACCACAAAGCAACAGAACAAAAAAAAAAAUAGACGAGGAAGAUCAUAUAGAAAUAUUUGGAACAUUAUAGCCUAUGGGUGAACCCCACAUGCAUUCAUAAAAAUCUGACAUUUUAAUUUUAAAAUUAAGUUAGAUAAAAUUACGUCUUAAAAGCACAAAAUUGUUUCUUGCUGUGUGCUUAAGCAAAACCUUUUACAAAGGCCUACGGUGGAAGAUAUUUAGCUUUUUAAUAGUAAAUUAAGCAAAAAUCAACUAAACAAAAUAAAUCAAUGCUAAGAUAUGAGUGACACUGUCUUCUUCCAGUGAACACAAACCAAAAGUAUAAUAAACUCUACCUAAAAUAGUAUUUCUGACAGGUUUUUUUCGAAUGCGUAGCGAAAACAUAAUCGACGACGAAAACUGGGUUUUACCGGUUCAAAGCAACACAAAUGAAAACAGAAGGUCUGAAAAAAAUUAAAUAAUGGAUUAUUAUAAACUGUUGUAACUGUGCUGUUGGUUGCAAUGAAAUAGAACCGAUUUGAUUAAAAAAUGACUAUCAUUGCUGAGCGGCGAAUGUUGUUAGCAGUCUCAAAAAUAUAUCGCAAGAUAGCGCCGUGCAAACUUCUUCCAAGUGAAGACGUGCCAAUCAUUUCAUUAAAAACGUUUUUAAGUGGGAGAUUAAUCCGUUACCAGUGUCUGAAUUUAAGGCACGGGGGAUUUUUCUCACUUUUCAAGUGUAACUCUCGUCGUCUUCAGUGUCGGAGUAACACUGACUUCUGAAUAAAGAAAAUGAAUCCAAAAUAAGAGUAUGGCAAUAAUACUCAUUGCGAUAAAAGCUGAGACGGUCUGGUAAUACCGCUCCUAAAACACAUACUGUAGGACCCGGCGUGCAGCUGAGUGUAUCGUCACUGUGCUGUAAAGAAAUUUGAAUUUGUUCCGUUUGUCACAGUAGGUUUAAAAAAGGCUCGAAGCAAAUUCAUUACUCCUAUCAGCCCGUAACCUGUUCUGGGAAGGACGAAAAGUCCAUGGCAAUAGAUGAACAAUAGGUCUACAGUUCAUAUGCAACAAAAGAAUUGGGGAACUUGUUUGAAUUUCAGAGCACGUCCUCAUUCUCAAGGAGGGAUGGACUAGACCUCGGCCAACGCCAAAAACUUAGUCUUCCACCACAGCCCUUCACUUUACCAUUUGGGUGUAUAGAAGACAAAUACGUUAUGGGAAAGUUUUUUUUUUGUCAUGUGGAUGGAAUAUUGCCUCUGCUUAACUCAGAGCAGCCGAAGCAAGUCUAAUGAGCUGGGUAUCGGCGGCAACUUUAAAAUGAGUUGGUGACGAGUAUGGCUGGAUUCAGGGGAAGUACUGAGUGUCCAAAAGGUUUCUCUGGAUGAUUUCCGACGUGAGGACUGCUGAAAGAGCCUGCUGUACACUGCUUAAAACAUCCUUUCAUGUUUAGUAAGAAGAGAUGACCAGAAACGUAAUCAGUUCGAAGACAAUGGGCAAAUAUACCUGUCUCAGAUUAUUCCCGAAGCUAGGCCACUAUGAGAUGUGCAGAUAUCCAGAUGUGAUUUCCUUUGUGGGGCACCUUAAAGAUAAGGCCUGCAGAAUAAGCCAGGAAAGAGGCGUCUGCAGGGAAAAAUAUAGGUGAUGCCUUCAUCUGAAGGAAAUUAUUUACUGCAGCUUGGGAGAAACAUUCACUUCAAGUGGACGUAGUGGCCAAGUACAAGGGGUGAAGAACUGUGGAAAGCUGGAGGGAAGCAGUGUCGCUCUGCUGUCAUCGAGGCUGCCUAGAAAGUAAGAAUCUACCAACAACAAAAAAUUGCAUGGAAUACAGUCUGUAUUUAUAUCUUUAGCCUUGCUGGCAGAUGUGGUGAACAUGAUAUAUUUAUUAACUGAUAUGGUGAAACACAAAAAGAACAUUCAUGAAUCUCUGUGGCUCUUUUAAGUUGAUCUUACAUGUCCUUAAUAAAUUGUGGAAUAUCCAA